rnacentral:sRNA from 1 species
UUUUCUGGGCGGAUUCGAUUAGAACAGUGCGUCUGCUGGAAUUGCCGGCGCAGCAGAUCUUAAUGAGUUAAUGCAACAGAGGAUUGCUGGGGUUUUGUUUAGACACAUGUCGAUUUAUUUACACCUGGGACACUAUCUUGUCACACAAGACACCUUAAGAAAAAGACAAGAGAAUAAUAUAUAGGCCUGUGCAUGCAGUUUCAACUAAUCUCCUACUGCGAUACAUCAUCCUUACCAUUAGGAGCUGUCAAGCUAGGACUUCUCUGCAGUAGCAAUGUCACACGUCUGUCACUUGAGGAAACUUGUUCGUAAGAAGAAAACGCUUUCUCGUCUGCUGUACAUUGUGUGUCUCUUGGUUUCGUGGAAAUAUGUGGAUUAAUUAAACCAAAGAAAUCGUUCACAGCAUCGCCCCUUCUGAACUUCAAAAUACGAAAAGUCAGCAUGACACGAUGCAACCCAGGUGUUUUGGGGAUGACCUUGUCACU